GCAUCACAUUGACAGCUACCUUGUAUUGACCGAAACGACAGCAACCAUAAAUGAGGCUGUCAGUUGAUCAAGUUGCAAUCUUGGAGUGUUUCGACUUUCGAUAGAUUAGCACAUUGAAAAAAAAAAAAUCUUGGAAAAUAUUACAGGUGAAAAAAUAAUUAAAAAAAUGAAACGUAAAGAGUCGUAAUUCACAGAUGUCAUCAAUCUGCGGUUCAUAUUUCUCAUAGAACAUCUCCAGCAUCGCCAUGGAUGGCCUUUUAGCUCUCUCCCAUGAUCCAAAAACUUUGUUUUGCAAAAUAAUUAGCAGCCCAUCCGUUGCAACCAAGCCGCCACCCUCUCUUAAGAAAAAAAAAUAUCACAGAUUUUUUUUUUCCCUCACCACCAAUAAUAGCCACCCGAAACUCACCACCAUUUUUUUCUUUUCUUUCACAACUUAGGACAUGCUCCACCACAUUGUCGUAUGUUCCUCCUCUCAGCCAGAGUUUGACCCACCACCAGAAUUAACUUCCCCUGUCACCAUCAAACCUCUCUCUUCACCACCAAGCAGUCCUGACCAAAUCAAACCCGUAAGCUGUUGCAGCCUCUCUUCAACUAAAAA